GUAGGUGGCAAGCGUUAUCCGGAAUUACUGGGCGUAAAGCGCACGCAGGCGGUCUUGUAAGUUUGACGUGAAAGCUCCCGGCUUAACUGGGAGAGGUCGUUGAAGACUGCAAGACUUGAGGAAAUGAGAGGGGUGUAGAAUUCCCGGUGUAGUGGUGGAAUGCGUAGAUAUCGGGGGGAAUACCAGUGGCGAAAGCGGCACCCUAGCAUUUUUCUGACGCUCAUGUGCGAAAGCGUGGGGAGCGAACGGGAUUAGAUACCCCGGUAGUCCUAGCCUUAAACGAUGAAUGCUUGGUGUCUGGGGUUUUAUAGUCCCCGGGUGCCGUCGCUAACGCUUUAAGCAUUCCGCCUGGGGAGUACGGUCGCAAGACUG
rnacentral:rRNA from 1 species